CAACGUGCAACCAGAAAAAUUUCUUUUAAUUGAAAAUUUCUUGGCGAGUGGUGGUGUGUUUGAAAGAAAAACCCUAAAAUGUGUACUCUAAUGCAAGGCCAUGUGGUCAUGCAUUUUAAAACAAAGAAAAGCUAAAAUAUCAAUCUUAUGCAACUGCAAUUAAUGGAUUAAAAAAUGUGAGAAAACACGUGGCGAGCGGUGAAAAGAGAGUGGGACAGCCGGCAUUGCACGCGAUGCUAUGCCAGACAAGAGCCGCCAUUUUUCUUAAGGCAUUUUGGAAAAAUGUGAUCGA